rnacentral:lncRNA from 1 species
UAAAGCCUAAAGAGCUUUGUCGUUCUAGAGAUAAUGUUUGAUUUCUUUUAUUUUUCAAUUGUGGAAAAUUUUUGGCGGUUGUUAGAAAAUUUAGGCGGGAACAUUUUUUCUGGGACUUUUUGGAAAGAAAACCAUAAACCGUAAACCCUAAUUCCUAACCCCAAACCCUAAACCCCAAAGAGCUUUGCCGUUUUAGAGCUGAUGGUUGAUUUCUCCUAUUUUUUU